UACAGAGGGUGCGAGCGUUGUUCGGAAUUACUGGGCGUAAAGCGCGCGCAGGCGGCCUUUUAAGUCUGACGGUGAAAUGCCGGGGCUCAACCCCGUGCCCGCCGGAGAUACUGGGAGGCUGGAGACGAGUAGAGGCAAGCGGAAUUCCGGGUGUAGCGGUGAAAUGCGUAGAUAUCUGGAGGAAUACCGGUGGCGAAGGCGGCAUCCUGGACCGACAUUGACGCUGAGGAGCGAAAGCCAGGGGAGCAAAGCGGG
rnacentral:rRNA from 1 species